CAGCAGCAGCCGCGGUAAUACGGAGGAUCCGAGCGUUAUCCGGAAUUAUUGGGUUUAAAGGGUGCGUAGGCGGAUAGAUAAGUCAGUGGUGAAAGACGGUGGCUCAACCAUCGCAGUGCCGUUGAUACUGUUUAUCUUGAAUAUGGAUGAGGUAGGCGGAAUGUGGCAAGUAGCGGUGAAAUGCAUAGAUAUGCCACAGAACACCGAUUGCGAAGGCAGCUUACCAAGGCAAAAUUGACGCUGAGGCACGAAAGCGUGGGGAUCGAACAGGAUUAGAUACCCCGGUAGUCCCUGUCUCUUAUAA
rnacentral:rRNA from 1 species